AGGACGAACGCUGGCGGCGUGCUUAACACAUGCAAGUCGAGCGGAAAGGCCCUUCGGGGUACUCGAGCGGCGAACGGGUGAGUAACACGUGAGCAAUCUGCCCUUAGCUUCGGGAUAGCUCCGGGAAACCGGAAUUAAUACCGGAUAUGACUAUGGCUGACAUCAGCCACGGUGGAAAGUUUUUCGGCUAGGGAUGAGCUCGCGGCCUAUCAGCUAGUUGGUGGGGUAACGGCCUACCAAGGCGGCGACGGGUA
rnacentral:rRNA from 1 species